AACAUAAGGGAAACCAUUCCCUAAAGACAUUGAAAGACAGAUUGGGAAUUUCAAGGAAAAGUUACAAAAUCCAUUUUCUCACUCCUUACCACUUCUAUGCAAUAAGGGCAGAAGGGCCAAACAGAGGAAGUCAAGGAGGGAGCAGAAUCAUCCAGAUAAAGAAGAUUUGGGUUGAUCUAAAUGAGCAACUUUCACCUAGCAAGGAAUGAAAAAUUGAUAAGUUCUACAAAAUGCAGAGCACCACUAAGCUCCCACCAUGAAAACACAGGAACAGCCCCCACUGAUCUCCACAGAUCCAACAGACAAUGAUUUGGACUCUGGAGCUCCAUUGCUUUUUGACAGAAGAGACUGGAGUACUACACGUACCAGCCUUUGGUUAACAACUGCUGUGUAAAUCAAAAUAGCAAGUGUGUCUUCCUCAAGUCAGAAGAAAGGAAAAUCAUCCAUAUCAGAAUAUGUUCAUUUGUACCACUUGUGCUGUUUAUGUUUGUC
ensembl:lncRNA